rnacentral:rRNA from 1 species
AAGAAAGUAAGAAAGGGCGCAUGGGGGAUGCCUAGGCUCUCGGAGGCGAAGAAGGACGUGAUAAGCUGCGAAAAGUUACGGAGAGGCGCAAAUAGCCCGUGACCCGUAAAUCUCCGAAUGGGGCAACCCAGUCAGCAAUGACUAUACCGCAUGGCGGUAGGCAAACGCGGGGAACUGAAACAUCUAAGUACCCGCAGGAAGAGAAAAUAACAAUGAUUCCGCAAGUAGUGGCGAGCGAACGCGGAAGAGCCCAAACCGACGAUGUUACGGCACCGUCGGGGUAGAAGGAUCCAUGACAAAGACAAGACCGAGCAUAGCAGAAUACGAUGGAAAUCGUAGCCAUAGAGGGUGACAGUCCCGUAAGCGAAAUGCGAAGGAAGUCGAAUGGACACCUGAGUAACCUAGGACACGAGAAAUCCGGGGCGAAUCAGCGGGGACCAUCCCGUAAGGCUAAAUACUCCCGAGAGACCGAUAGCGAACCAGUACUGUGAAGGAAAGGUGAAAAGAACCUCGAACAGAGGAGUGAAAAAGACCCUGAAACCAUGCGCCUACAAGCGGUCGGAGCACGAAAGUGUGACGGCGUGCCUUUUGCAUAAUGAACCUACGAGUUACUGUUGCUGGCGAGGUUAAGCGAUUCAGUCGCGGAGCCGAAGCGAAAGCAAGUCCGAA